UGGGGAAUUUUGGACGAAUUGGGCGAAAGCCUGAUCCAGCAAUGCCGCGUGUGUGAAGAAGGCCUUCGGGUUGUAAAGCACUUUUGUCCGGAAAGAAAUCCUUGGCUCUAAUACAGUCGGGGGAUGACGGUACCGGAAGAAUAAGCACCGGCUAACUACGUGCCAGCAGCCGCGGUAAUACGUAGGGUGCAAGCGUUAAUCGGAAUUACUGGGCGUAAAGCGUGCGCAGGCGGUUUGCUAAGACCGAUGUGAAAAUCCCCGGGCUCAACCUGGGAACUGCAUGGUGACUGGCAGGCUAGAGUAUGGCAGAGGGGGGUAGAAUUCCACGUGUAGCAGUGAAAUGCGUAGAGAUGUGGAGGAAUACCGAUGGCGGAGGCAGCCCCCU
rnacentral:rRNA from 1 species